rnacentral:rRNA from 1 species
AAAUUGAAGAGUUUGAUCAUGGCUCAGAUUGAACGCUGGCGGCAGGCCUAACACAUGCUAGUCGAGCGGUAGCACAGAGAGCUUGCUCUCGGGUGACGAGCGGCGGACGGGUGAGUAAUGUCUGGGAAACUGCCUGAUGGAGGGGGAUAACUACUGGAAACGGUAGCUAAUACCGCAUAAUGUCGCAAGACCAAAGUGGGGGACCUUCGGGCCUCAUGCCAUCAGAUGUGCCCAGAUGGGAUUAGCU